UAAAAAAUAAAUCUCAAAUAUUCUAUUUUAGGAAAUUUUUCAUUUUUAUAGAAUUAUUGUAGAUUAGGGGUUGUGAUUUAGAAAUUAGGAUAACAAGAAUUUUUUUUGAUAGAUGAGUUUUUUUAAAAAAAAUUUUUAUCAAUAGGUUGUAUAUUUUAGAUAAAAUUCUCAAAAAUUAUAUUUAAGGAAAAUUUUUAUUUUUAUUGAGAACUACUGUAGUUUUGGUGUUCUGAUUUAGAAAUUAGGAUAACAAGAAUUUUUGUUGAUAGAUGAGUAUUUUUUAAGAUUUUUUUAUCAAUAGGUUGUAUAUUUUAGAUAAAAUUCUCAAAAAUUAUAUUUAAGGAAAUUUUUUUUUUAUUGAGAACUAUUGUAGUUUUGAGGUUCUGAUUUAGAAAUUAGGAUAACAAGAAUUUUUGUUGAUAGAUGUGUAUUCUUCAAGAUUUUUUUAUUAAUAGGUUGUAUAUUUUUGAUAAAUUGUCUAAAAUUCUAUUUAAGGAAAGUUUUUAUUUUCAUUGAGAACUAUUGUAGUUUUGAGGUUCAGAUUUAGAAAUUUUGAUAACAAGAAUUUUUGUUGAUAUAUGAGUAUUCUUUUAGAUUUUUUGAUCAAUAGUUGUAUUUUAAAAAAAAUAAUUCUCAAAAAUUCUAUUUUAGGAAAGUUUUCAUUUUUUUAAGAAAUAUUGUAGAUUUGAAGUUGUGAUUUAGAAAUUAGGAUAACAAGAAUUUUUGUUGAUAGAUGAGUAUUUUUUAAGAUUUUUUUAUCAAUAGGUUGUAUAUUUUAGAUAAAAUUCUCUAAAAUUCUAUUUAAGGAAAGUUUUAUUUUUAUUCAGAACUAUUGUAGUUUUGGUGUUCUGAUUUAGAAAUUAGGAUAACAAGAAUUUUUGUUGAUAGAUGCGUAUUUUUUAAGAUUUUUUUAUUAAUAAGUUGUAUAUUUUAGAUAAAUCGUCUAAAAUUCUAUUUAAGGAAAGUUUUAAUUUUUAUUGAGAACUGUUGUAGUUUUGGGGUUCUGAUUUAGAAAUUUUGAUAACAAGAAUUUUUGUUGAUAUAUGUGUAUUCUUAUAGAUUUUUUGAUCAACAGUUGUAUUUUUAAAAAAAUAAUUCUCGAAAUUCUAUUUUAGAAAAGUUUUCAUUUUUUAUAGAAAUAUUGUAGAUUUGAAGUUGUGAUUUAGAAAUUAGGAUAACAAGAAUUUUUGGUGAUAGAUGAGUAUUUUUUAAGAUUUUUUUAUCAAUAGGUUGUAUAUUUUAGAUAAAAUUCUCAAAAAUUCUAUUUAAGGAAAGUUUUUAUUUUUAUUGAGAACUAUUGUAUUUUUUGGGUUCUGAUUUAGAAAUUAGGAUAACAACAAUUUUUGUUGAUAGAUGUGUAUUCUUUUAAUACUUUUGAUCAAUAGCUUGUAUACUUUAGAUAAAACUAGGGGUCUUCCGGCGCUACGCGCCGGGUUCAGAUAUGUUAUUUGAUACAGUUUUCAAAAUCUUGUGUUUUGGUAUUUAGUUGUUAGGAGUGUAUGCAGUUGAGUAUUGUUGAAAGGUUUUGCAUUUUAAAAAGUGUUUAAAUAUGUAUGGUCUUUACGGGGAGUUAGUGUUUUGAAAGUGUUUAUAUUUUGGAGUCGAUAUAUGAGCGCAUGGUUCGCAUCUCAGUGUAAUAUCUGUUGUUGUAUCGAUGCGGUGUUCUUUAUAUUCAAUUUCGUUUUACUAAGUUUUGGUAUAGGGGUUGAGCUUUUAAACUGAGCGUUUUGAAAGAACUGAUAAAUUAAAUUUAAAAUGAAUAUUCCACGUCACUGGAAAUUAAUAUCUCAGACGUUGUUUUAUCUUUUAAAUUCAAUUUGUUUCAUUUUCAUUUGUUAGUUGUUAACAAAUAAGAAUUGAGAGUCCUGACCUAAUAAUGGAUUUUGUGAGUUCAUAUUUGGAGAUCUCAGGCCUUGAGUCCUUCGCUUCCGAAGUCAUGUCAAUGCAUUUUUGAUUUCUGCUAGAGUGAAAAUGUUAAAAAAAUUCAGUAAUGUGGGAUGCAUUUUAUUGGUUCAGGGUUAUUUUUUAUAGGGGAUGUGUUUUUCUUAAAAGUUUAUUGGUUUAUCCUAAACGAAAAGUUGAGAGUAAGAGUUAGUACAUAAGAGAAUAAUAAUGAAUUUCAAAAUUAUAGCAAACAAUAAAUUAUUAUUUUAAAAAUAUUUGUGAUUAAAGAAAUGUAAAUUCAGAUUUGUCUUUAAUUAAAAAAUAAAAUAAGCAAUGACAUGUUUUUUUUAUCUAUGAGUAAUGUAGUCGACAAAUUUCUAAGUAGUAACAAUCCAGAUAAAUCUCUAUUUACAUAGGGGAUGGUACACUCAUAAAGUUUUCUUUCAGUGUAUUUGAUUCGAGAUUUGUAACAACACUUUAUAUCAUUUGAUCAUUAUAAACACAUUCUUAUCACAAAAUUAUUUACAAAAUCAAACCAACAGUACUUAGCAAGAAUAUAUGUGGUAUGCUAAUUAGUAGCUUAUGGUGUUAAUGUUAAUGUUUGUUUAGUCUUGGACUGUUUUUUAUUUUCCUUAGUUUCUUUGUUUGUGUGUUGAACUCUUCUGGACAUCCUCAGAUGUACAUUAGUUAAUCUGAACUCUUAGGUUUCUCGUUUGAGCAAAUGUUGACUUUGCUGCUAAACAGCGGAGGAGAUAACUAAUUUGAGAAAGUGUAUGUUAGUCUGUGCGCUAAGAUACAACUAAUGGGCCAUCCUUCAGAAGGCCCAUUCUUCACCCGGGAAAACCAUUAUUGGUGAUAAGCAAAUAUCUUAAAAACACAUGUUCUUAUUGGUGAUACAUCUGCUCUCUGUCGUAAAAAAACAUAGCAUGUGCUCUGUUUACUUCUUCAUUGUCGGACGGGACGGAUGUAGCUGCCACUCCAUCGUCUGGUUUCUAUACCAUUACCUCUACCACUCAUUACUAAUGAUUAUAUUUAUUCAACGGUACCAUGUUUGGUGGAUGAAUCUCUUCCUAGCUUUUGCAUUGCGGUGGUGUUUCUUUUUUUCUCGCUGAAUCUUAAUUUAAAUUAUUCAAGAGAAUCUUUUGUCAAAAAGAAAACUUAUCAUCAUUGUAACUCAUUGUUCAAGUUUAAGAUGAAUCACAAAAGUUUCAAACUUAGUGAUCAAAGAUGCUCACAUCACAAGUUUAGAACCAUAAAAUAGAAGAGAUAACAACUUGCAUCAAAAAAUAAAAGCAUCUAAAAGUCUUAAACACAUAUUGUAACUCAAACUGAAUCAAAUACAAAAAAAGAAAAAAAGAAAAAAA